GAGGGUACAGCUCACGUGGCAGAGUGCAUGCUUAGCAUGCAGGAGGUCCUGGGUUCAAUCCCCAGUACCCUCU
rnacentral:tRNA from 1 species